rnacentral:rRNA from 1 species
GAUGAACGCUGGCGGCGUGCCUAACACAUGCAAGUCGAGCGAUUCUCUUCGGAGAAGAGCGGCGGACGGGUGAGUAACGCGUGGGUAACCUGCCCUGUACACACGGAUAACAUACCGAAAGGUAUGCUAAUACGAGAUAAUAUGCUUUUAUCGCAUGGUAGAAGUAUCAAAGCUUUUGCGGUACAGGAUGGACCCGCGUCUGAUUAGCUAGUUGGUAAGGUAACGGCUGACUAAGGCGACGAUCAGUAGCCGACCUGAGAGGGUGAUCGGCCAGAUUGGAAUGUAGCCACGGUCCAAACUCCUACUGGAGGCAGCAGUGGGGAAUAUUGCACAAUGGGCGAAAACGUGAUGCAGCAACGCGGCGUGAGCGAUGACGGCCUUCGGGUCGUAAAGCUCUGUCCUCAAGGAAGAUAAUGACGGUACUUGAGGAGGAAGCCCCGGCUAACUACGUGCCAGCCGCCGCCGUAAUAC